rnacentral:piRNA from 1 species
UAUCUAUGAUGAUUCUGGAGCUCAUGGU